GAUGAACGCUGGCGGCGUGCCUAAUACAUGCAAGUCGAGCGAACAGAUGAGGAGCUUGCUCCUCUGACGUUAGCGGCGGACAGGUGAGUAACACGUGGAUAACCUACCUAUAAGACUGGGAUAACUUCGGGAAACCGGAGCUAAUACCGGAUAAUAUAUUGAACCGCAUGGUUCAAUAGUGAAAGACGGUUUUGCUGUCACUAUAGAUGGAUCCGCGCCGCAUUAGCUAGUUGGUAAGGUAACGGCUUACCAAGGCAACGAUGCGUAGCCGACCUGAGAGGGUGAUCGGCCACACUGGAACUGAGACACGGUCCAGACUCCUACGGGAGGCAGCAGUAGGGAAUCUUCCGCAAUGGGCGAAAGCCUGACGGAGCAACGCCGCGUGAGUGAUGAAGGUCUUCGGAUCGUAAAACUCUGUUAUUAGGGAAGAACAAAUGUGUAAGUAACUAUGCACGUCUUGACGGUACCUAAUCAGAAAGCCACGGCUAACUACGUG
rnacentral:rRNA from 1 species